GGCUAGGUGGCAGAAUGGCUUAUGCAGAGGACUGCAAAUCCUUUUAUAUCGGUUCGAUUCCGGUCCUGGCCUCCA
rnacentral:tRNA from 2 species